rnacentral:rRNA from 1 species
UACGAAGGGGGCUAGCGUUGCUCGGAAUCACUGGGCGUAAAGGGCGCGCAGGCGGCUCGACAAGUCAGAUGUGAAAGCCCCGGGCUCAACCUGGGAAUUGCAUUUGGGACUGUCGGGCUAGAGUCCGGAAGAGGAGAGUGGAAUUCCCGGUGUAGCGGUGAAAUGCGCAGAUAUCGGGAAGAACACCCGUGGCGAAGGCGGCUCUCUGGGACGGUACUGACGCUGAGACGCGAAAGCGUGGGGAGCGAACAGG